rnacentral:rRNA from 1 species
CUCGUAGGCGGUUCAGUAAGUCGGGUGUGAAAACUCUGGGCUUAACCCAGAGCCGCCACCCGAUACUGCUGUGACUAGAGUCCGGUAGGGGAGUGGGGAAUUCCUAGUGUAGCGGUGAAAUGCGCAGAUAUUAGGAGGAACACCGGUGGCGAAGGCGCCACUCUGGGCCGGAACUGACGCUGAGGAGCGAAAGCGUGGGUAGCAAACAGGAUUAGAUACCCUGGUAGUCCACGCCGUAAACGUUGGGCACUAGGUGUGGGCCUCAACCAACGAGGUCCGUGCCGUCGCUAACGCAUUAAGUGCCCCGCCUGGGGAGUACGGCCGCAAGGCUAAA